GGGUCGGUGCCCGAGCGGCCAAAGGGAGCGGGCUGUAAACCCGCCGGCUCACGCCUACGGAGGUUCGAAUCCUCCCCGGCCCA
rnacentral:tRNA from 1 species